GACGAACGCUGGCGGCGCGCCUAACACAUGCAAGUCGAACGAGCGAGAGAGAGCUUGCUUUCUUGAGCGAGUGGCGAACGGGUGAGUAACGCGUGAGGAACCUGCCUCAAAGAGGGGGACAACAGUUGGAAACGACUGCUAAUACCGCAUAAGCCCACGGUGCCGCCUGGCACAGAGGGAAAAGGAGCAAUCCGCUUUGAGAUGGCCUCGCGUCCGAUUAGCUAGUUGGUGAGGUAACGGCCCACCAAGGCGACGAUCGGUAGCCGGACUGAGAGGUUGAACGGCCACAUUGGGACUGAGACACGGCCCAGACUCCUACGGGAGGCAGCAGUGGGGAAUAUUGCACAAUGGGGGAAACCCUGAUGCAGCGACACCGCGUGGAGGAAGAAGGUCUUCGGAUUGUAAACUCCUGUUGUUGGGGAAGAUAAUGACGGUACCCAACAAGGAAGUGACGGCUAACUACGUG
rnacentral:rRNA from 1 species